rnacentral:rRNA from 1 species
AUUGAACGCUGGCGGAAUGCUUUACACAUGCAAGUCGAACGGCAGCACGGGGCAACCUGGUGGCGAGUGGCGAACGGGUGAGUAAUACAUCGGAACGUGCCCAAUCGUGGGGGAUAACGUAGCGAAAGUUACGCUAAUACCGCAUACGAUCUACGGAUGAAAGCGGGGGAUCGCAAGACCUCGCGCGAUUGGAGCGGCCGAUAUCAGAUUAGCUAGUUGGUGGGGUAAAAGCUCACCAAGGCGACGAUCUGUAGCUGGUCUGAGAGGACGACCAGCCACACUGGAACUGAGACACGGUCCAGACUCCUACGGGAGGCAGCAGUGGGGAAUUUUGGACAAUGGGCGCAAGCCUGAUCCAGCAAUGCCGCGUGCAGGAUGAAGGCCUCGGUUGUAACUAGCUUUGUACGUAACGAACGGUAGAGCUCUAUAAAGACUUGCUAAUAGACGGUACCGUAACGAAUAAGACACCGGCUAACUACGUAGCCAGCAGCCG